CACAAGCUCUCUUCCUCCCUUCUCAUGAAAGCUCCAAUAUAAAUUUUUACCAAGUCAAUCUCCCUAUAUAAAUAAAAAAAAAUCUUACCUCAUUUCAAAGAAGCAACCUUUUCUUUUUCUCAGAACAUUUUGUGAACUUUUAUUUACCUCUGAGCUUCCUUUCUAGUCUUUCCUUCUCAUCUCUCCCUUUCCAUCAAAAUUUUCUCUCUGGAAAUGGAAGAAACAGGGGAAAUGAUGCACUGGAUUUUCAAAAGGGAAGGAAUGGAAAGUGCAGAUUUCCUCAGCAUAAUCAUAUAAAGCAGCAUAUUGUUGUUCAUAAGUACCUUCAAUUAUUCUUGUUGCCAUCUUCUUAGCUUUAUAUGCCUUAUCCCUUGAAACCUUCAAAAUAUGAUCUUUACUAACUUUGUGAAUGAAGGAUGGAUUGGCCAGAUUUCAUUAAUCUUGAAUUGGUCUAAAUACUUUUGAGGUAGCAAACCUAUUAUUGUUCUUCCUGGCACAUCUAUGUUGAUCUAUAUUAUAUAGGUCUUAAUCACAAAUGUUGAAGACUCAUCUACCUUCGAAGCAAAGCAAAGCAAAGCAAACCCAUGGGCAAUUUAUUUCUUUACCAUUCAUUCAAUAUAGCAUACUCUCUAACAACUUGCUUAAACACUACCCCAGAAGAAAAAACUAAUCCUAAUUUUAACAUAUGCAUAUCCACAUCAACAUCACCCUUGAAUUCUGGUAUGUCAACUUUUUUGGCUUACUAAACUCAUUUUUACCUUCAACCAUUUCUUGACUACUAUCCUCAUCACUGUCAGAAUUCCCCUACCUCAUCAAACGAUAUCAUCAUCUGAAUCCUCUACCUCUACCUCUACCAGAACUCUGGUAGAUCAUCAAUCUCAAUUAGCCUCUUUUGUAAGCCUUUCAAAAAGAAUUCUGCAUUCUCAUCAACAUUUAAAUCAUUAUCACUCUGUUUGUACUCAAACUCUUCUACAUAAUCUAAAUCUUCAUCAUCACUUUCAUCAAAUUCUCCAACAUCACUGAUAGCCAAGCCAAUGUACUGCCUAUUCUUGAACCACCAACCCCUGAACUAGUCCCCAAAUCACCUAAUCCAGCUCCCAUUUUAUAAGAACAAGCAACUUCAUGCCGAAAAUCAAUCCCCAAAUCACUUAAACCAGCAAAAACAGAAGCUUCUAUGCUUUCUCCUAAUUUUUAUUUAUUAAAAAAAAUCAAUGCAGAGAGUUAUAUCUAUUUUAAUGCAGCGGUUAAAAGACAUCUUGCUUGCAGUCAUCAACCGUGUGCAUACAUAUUUGUCAUACUUUCAAGGUUUUAGAGAUCACUGAAAAACAGACCGUAGAAAUGGAGGUCAUCGUUGAUGCACAAUAUUCUACGGUGGCAACGGAUAAGAGAGAAAUGGACGAAGCUGACUUGGAUUAUGUUGCCAAGCCAAGAACAGGUCAUUGAGGAGAGGAGCAAUGUUUGUGUUUAUGGUGCAUGUAUUAUAUAUUUCGAAAUUCGCAGGUGUGAUAGUAUAAAUGAAAAAUGAAAAAAUAUUCCGUAGUAAUUUGUGUAAAUUUCAAAAAUAAUACUUAUAGAAAUAAUAAUUCAAUAUGAAGUUAUCUACUUUUUUUCA